UCAGAUCGAAGAAGUUUCCGAUGUUCAGAUCGAUGCAACUUGUGGCAUUCAGGCCAGUUUUCCGGUAUUCAGACCGAAGUGGCAUUCAGGCCAGUUUCCCGGUGCUCAGACCGAUGUUUGAUAAUCGCGUAUCUUCCAAUGCUCAUAUCGAAGUUGUCAUACCCCAAAAUUUGCCCGUUGAUAUUACAAAGCAUUUUCCAAGACCCUCUGACUUGAUCUGCAAGGCACUGAUAUUAAAUGGACAAAAGCCCAG
rnacentral:lncRNA from 1 species